rnacentral:rRNA from 1 species
GACGUAGGGCGCGAGCGUUGUCCGGAUUUAUUGGGCGUAAAGAGCUCGUAGGCGGUUUGUCGCGUCUGCUGUGAAAAACCCCGAGGCUCAACCUCGGGCCUGCAGUGGGUACGGGCAGACUAGAGUGCGGUAGGGGAGAUUGGAAUUCCUGGUGUAGCGGUGGAAUGCGCAGAUAUCAGGAGGAACACCAACGGCGAAAGCACUCUGCUGGGCCGACACUGACACUGAGAGACGAAAGCUAGGGGAGCGAAUGGG